rnacentral:tRNA from 1 species
GCUGGGGUGGCAGAGAGGCUAUGCAUCCGCCUGCAGAGCGGAAGAUCGAGGGUUCGAUUCCCUCCCUCAGCU